CGGUUGGCAGCUCCACGUCGACAUUCUUUGAGCAGCAGUGUGUAGCACCUCACCAGUUCUGCACAGAAGCACUGAGGACGGCCGACAAGAGCGAUUCAACAGGAUAAGACGAGAAUUCACCACGUCUGCACCGAACUUAAAUGCGCCCCGGACUCGAAUCAGAUCCCCCCGGUCCUUCGAAUCCAAGCCGCAGGCUGCAGCUGGCUACAGACCGCGCGGUCACCGGUACUACAGGAAGACAGGUACGACAGAGGGUGCCCAUAUGGGUCUUCAGGCUGCAACAUCUGGUCUGUCCUGGUGUGUGUGAGUGUAUGAGUGUGUGUGUGCGUGUGUGUGUGUGUCUCCUAGAAAGAGAGAGAAACUGGCUCUCCAGGUGAAGUUCUGUGAUUCACUCAGACUCUUGAGUGUGUAUGCAGUCAGUGCAUUACAGAACUUUGCCUUGAGAGCUGCCCAUCUCCAGCAGUCAAUCAGUCGGUCAUCGGAUUUGGGUCCGUCGGCCGGCGCUGUGGACGCAAGGAGAGAAAGAUCUCACCAUCGUUUCCACAUCUCUUCGGCUUCCACCAAUUAAACUGCUCUCAACCAGCCUGACUCUUGUCACUUGUCUUCUCUGCAUCCGUCUUCUUAUACUUUUCUGUAGGCCAUUUCUAGUGAUUCUCUGUCUCCUUUUGCCUUUGUGUCUUCCUGUUGCUUUAUACAGUCAGCGAUAUUUACCUCUUCCUGGUCAGCGCUCAGCUUUUCCCCAGACAUGCUUAAUCCCAAUAGUGUAACUAUAAUGUCAUGAUAUGAUCAUUAAAGGUGCACUUGAAUGGGUAUUAAUGUGUUAUAAGCCUAUAUGGUUAGAGGUUGGCCUUGGACUGGACGGGGAUGGACUGCAUUGGGUCUGCGAUGAAUAUCAUCGGUCAAAGAAAAUCCUCUCAGGACCUGCACUGAGUUCAUCAGAACCCUCCUGGCUUUCCCUGACUCCUCGAGGUUCCAAAUGUCAGAUGAAAAAUGUCACCCUGUGGUUCUUUGAAAGAAGAUGGAUAAAGAAAGUAUGUCGUGUCUGCUGAAGGAGUCACAGGGAAAAAAUCCUAGGUAAAAAUCUGUAUUUGUCCCCGUUAUUUUUUCUGGUGACUGUAUUUCACAAAAUCCUGAGAUGAAUGCUUUAGCUUGCUAUGAAAUAAACACUAACUUGGUUAUUCACUGCAAAA